CGAAUUGGAGGAUUCGAAAUGACAUCUCGUACGAAUAAAUAAUUAUUAAAGUGAGGUGAAUUAGUUUUGAUCCAGUCCUAGGACUGAAUAGUUAAUUUUGAUCUAGUCCCAGGACUGGACUCCAAACAUUUAAAGUUAUAUACCAAACAUUUAAAGUUUCUUCCAAAUAUUCUGUUUCCUGCUGCAUAUGUUCUGAAUCAGGUUAGCGCUGAAAGAGUUAUAAUUCCUUACCCUAACUCAAACUGCAGUGUAACUAAGCCCGGAUGAAAGAACGAGGAUGAGACUGAUGAGAGUUGGUACUCACGCGACCUUGGUUAGCGUAACAAUACGUAACUGCCAACUCUCAUCCUUGUUUGACCGGGGCUUUUAAUAGAGGUCGACAAAGAAUUAAUAAGAGCAUUUUGUAAAUGUACCAAAAUUACCUGAAGCAAUGCAUACC